AAGAACAUCCAUAAAGUUAUCACCAUACAAUAGAUUG
rnacentral:guide_RNA from 1 species